GCCUAGUUAGCUUAGUUGGUAGUGCGUCUGCCUUGUAAAGCGCUAGGCCGCGGGUUCGAUUCCCGUCCGGGGCG
rfam:Asian citrus Psyllid, Diaphorina citri - Florida Strain, whole genome shotgun sequence.